rnacentral:lncRNA from 1 species
GUAGACCACUAAUAAGUAUCGAAUUCGACCUCUCGUAUUUACUUCUUCAAGAUUAGAUGGGAUACUUGCUGAGUACAGGUUAUUUUCGUACUCGUACUACACUUACUGUGUAUUUUUGUUGCACGGGUUUAUGAGUGACUAGUGGCUUAGUAGCAUAGCGGCAUGGUUGAUACGUAGACUUAGGUGAGCUGCACUUAUCGAGACGACAUGCAACCAGUAGAGUCUCCUUCAGAGUAUUGUACUAUAUUUUCAUUUCUGACCAUUUUGUAUACCGGACAAUUAUUGUAUUUCAUUUCAUUUCCUAGGAAAUGUUCAUGCACUUGUGACACCGGUAUCUGGAAUAUCUAUGGG